UGAACCAGUACCGUGAGGGAAAGGUGAAAAGAACCCCGGGAGGGGAGUGAAAGAGAACCUGAAACCCUGUGUUUACAAACUGUGGGAGUGCAAUACUCAGUAAAGCACGACCGCGUACUUUUUGUAGAACGGUCCGGCGAGUUACAUUCACUGGCGAGGUUAAGCACUACAGGUGUGAAGCCGAAGGGAAACCAAGUCUUAAUAGGGCGUAAAGUCAGUGGGAGUAGACCCGAAACCGGGUGAUCUAUCCAUGUCCAGGUUGAAGUUUUCGUAAAAGAGAAUGGAGGACCGAACUCACAUCCGUUGAAAAGGGUGGAGAUGAGGUGUGGAUAGGGGAGAAAUUCCAAUCGAACCCGGAGAUAGCUGGUUCUCCUCGAAAUAGUUUUAGGACUAGCCUCGUUAAAGUCUGCCGGAGGUAGAGCACUGAAUUUUUGCGGGGGCGUCAAAGCUUACCAAUGAAUAUCAAACUCCGAAUGCCGGUCAGAUGAUUAACGGGAGUCAGACUACACGAGAUAAGUUGGGUAGUCAAAAGGGAAAGAGCCCAGACCUACAGCUAAGGUCCCAAAGUGUGUGUUAAGUGGAAAAGGAUGUGGGAUUUCAGAGACAACUAGGAUGUUGGCUUAGAAGCAGCCAUACAUUCAAAGAGUGCGUAAUAGCUCACUAGUCGAGAGGUCCUGCGCCGAAAAUGUCCGGGGCUGAAACAUAACACCGAAGCAAUGGAAUAUACCGUAAGGUAUGUUGGUAGGGGAGCAUUGAUAACACGAAGAAGCGGUACCGUAAGGAGUCGUGGAGAGUUAUCAAGAGAGAAUGCCGGAAUGAGUAGCGAGAUGAAGGUGAGAAUCCUUCAGGCCGUAUAUCCAAGGUUUCCAGGGUAAAGCUGAUCUUCCCUGGGGAAGUCGGGACCUAAGCUCAGGCUGAGAAGCGUAGGCGAUGGACAACUGGUUGAUAUUCCAGUACCUCUGGCUAUCAGAAAUGUGGGGACACGGAGAUUCAGGAAGUGCCUGUAAAGGAUUCAGGUGCAAGCAUGGUUUAUGCCGGGCAGGCAAAUCCGCCCGGGGAAUUGAACUGUGUGAUGCGGACCGAAAUAUAAGUAGGGAAGCUUCUGGGAGAGCCGUCGAGAAAAGCCGCUAUUGUGUAGUCAGAGCCCGUACCGUAAACCGACACAGGUGGAUGGGGAGAGUAUCCCAAGGCCGGCGGGAGAAGCAUUGUUAAGGAACUCGGCAAAAUGGCCCCGUAAGUUCGCGAUAAGGGGUGCCUGUAGAAAUACAGGCCGCAGAGAAUAGGCUCAAGCAACUGUUUAGCAAAAACACAGGUCUAUGCGAAACCGUAAGGUGAUGUAUAUGGGCUGACGCCUGCCCGGUGCUGGAAGGUUACGGGGAGUGCUCAGGAGCAAUCCGAAGGUACGAACUUAAGCCCCAGUAAACGGCGGCCGUAACUAUAACGGUCCUAAGGUAGCGAAAUUCCUUGUCGGGU
rnacentral:rRNA from 1 species